ensembl:lncRNA
UGGAUGUAUGACCUCCGGUACAGGGUCUGCGAUGUGGGUUCACCUGAGGACUGUGAACAUGUGACCCCAGGGUCAGUUUCUGUGAGGUGUGUCACCUAGGAUACUGUGGACAUGGGACCCCAGGAGCAGGGUCUGGGAGGGGUUCACACUGGAGCCUGUGGACAUGUUAACCGCAGGUGUAAGGUCUGGGAGGGGGGGUCACUCUGGAGACUGCGGAUGUGUGACACCAGAUACAGGUUCUGGGAGGGUUAUCACCCUGGUGACUGUGGAUGUGUGACCACAGGUUUAGGGUCUGUGAGGGGUUCAUCCUUGCGACUGAGGACGUGUGACCCAGGUGUAGUGUCUGGGAAGCGGGAUACACUGGAAACUAAAAAUGUGGCCCCAGGUACAGGGUGUGUGGAGGGUUGUCACCAUAGAGACUGUGGAAGUGUGACCCCAGGUGCAGGUUCAGGAGAGGGUCACCCUGGAGACUGUGGGUGUGUGACCCCAGGUACAUGUUCUGGGAGGUGGGAUCCACCUUGUACACUAUGGACACGUUACUCCCGGUGCAGCAUCUGGGAGGGGGAUCACCAUGGAGACUGUGGACAUGUGAUCCCACAUGUAGUGUCUGGGAGGGGAGGUUACCCUGGAGGCUGUGGACGUGUGAUUCCAGGUGCUCAGACUAGUGUUGUAAGGUCACCCUGAAAUCUCUGGACAUGUGACCACAGGUUCAGCGUCUGGGGGAUGUCACCCUGAAGACUAUGGACGUGUGAUCAGAUGUUCAGAGUAAGGGAAUGGUGGUCACCCUGGAGACUGUGGAGUUGUGACCACAGGUAAAAGUUCUGAUGAGGUGGGGUCAGCCUAGAGACUGUGAACAUGUGACCUAAGGUACAAGUUCUGGUGAGAAGGUAUGGAGACUGUGGAGGUGUGACCCCACGUGCAGGGUCUGGGAGUGAGGUUACCCUUGAAAUUGGAAAUGUGAGUGCAGAUACAGGGUCUUGGAGGGGAGUCACCAAGGAGACUCUGGACAUGUGACCCAGGUGCAGGUAUUUUGAAGGGGUCAUUCUGGAGCCUGUGGAUGUGUGACCCCAGGUGAAGAGUCUGGGGAGAGGGGUCACCUUGCAGACAGUUGACAUGUGACCACAGGUGCAUGGUUUGGUGAUGGGGGGCCACCCUGGAGACUGUGGAGUUUUGAAACUUGGUACAGGGUUUGGGAGGUAGGGUCACACUGGAGAUGGGACAUUGACCCCAUGUACAUGGUCUGGGAAGGGGUUCACCCUGGAGACUGUGGCCAUGUGACCCCAGGUACAGGGUCUGGGGUGGGGUGUCAGGAAUGUGUUGUCAAGGCUCCCUAAGUGCAGGGAAAUACACGGCCUUGACUCUGGAAAAUAGGUCCUCUGUGCAAACCUGGAGUCCUCACAUCUUAGAAUCUAGACAGCUACUAGGUGUGUGAAAAGCAGUCUCUUUUUUGCCUUUCAUUAAUCAAAUGAACAUAGGUUUCCCAGCACUCUGUUUGCUGAGAGUAACACAUGGCUUGAAAAUCCUUGCUUGGAGUUCAGUUUUAAGUAACAAUUUCCCCUCCCCAGUAUUACAUUAGGGAAGGCAACCACACUCACAGAGAAAAGCAAAGAAACAUCAAAACAUCUGUUCUAAGAAAUUUUCUCUGUAGGAGGGAUCCAGUGAUCUUAGGUCUGUCUGGAAAAUUCUUGGAUACUGCAGGG